rnacentral:ncRNA from 2 species
GAAGGCGCCUGAGAGAUAGCGACUAUAUCCACGGGUAGCAGCAGGCGCGAAACUUUCCCACUCGAGACUUUCGGAGGAGGUAAUGACCAGUUCCAUUGGUGCCUUUUGGUACUGUGGAUAGGGGUACGGUUUUCCACCGUACCGAAACCUAGCAGAGGGCCAGUCUGGUGCCAGCAGCUGCGGUAAUUCCAGCUCUGCGAGUUUGCUCCCAUAUUGUUGCAGUUAAAACGCCCGUAGUCUGAAUUGGCCAGCAAUGGUCGUACGUAUUUUUACGUUCACUGUGAACAAAUCAGGACGCUUAGAGUAUGGCCACAUGAAUGACUCAGCGCAGUAUGAAGUCUUUGUUUUCUUCCGAAAACAAGCUCAAUGAGAGCCAUCGGGGGUAGAUCUAUCUCAUGACGAGUGGUGGAAUACUUUGACUCAUGAGAGAGAAGCUGAGGCGAAGGCGUCUACCUAGAGGGUUUCUGUCGAUCAAGGGCGAGAGUAGGAGUAUCCAACAGGAUUAGAGACCCUGGUAGUUCCUACCUUAAACGAUGCCGACAGGAGUUUGUCAUUUGUUAAUGGCAGAAUCUUUGGAGAAAUCAUAGUUCUUGGGCUCUGGGGGAACUACGACCGCAAGGCUGAAACUUGAAGGAAUUGACGGAAGGGCACACCAGGGGUGGAGCCUGUGGCUUAAUUUGAAUCAACACGGGGAAACUUACCAGGACCAGAUGUUUUUUAUGACUGACAGGCUUCGGGUCUUUCAGGAUAUUGUUUUUGGUGGUGCAUGGCCGUUGGUGGUGCGUGGGUUGACCUGUCUAGCGUUGAUUCAGCUAACGAGCGAGAUUAUCGCCAAAUUAUUUACUUUGCCGAAGUCCUUCGGUUAAAGUUC